rnacentral:rRNA from 1 species
GACGAACGCUGGCGGCACGCUUAACACAUGCAAGUCGAACGAGAGAAGAGAAGCUUGCUUUUCUGAUCUAGUGGCGGACGGGUGAGUAACACGUGAGCAAUCUGCCUUUCAGAGGGGGAUACCGAUUGGAAACGAUCGUUAAUACCGCAUAAUAUAAUUGAACCGCAUGAUUUGAUUAUCAAAGAUUUAUCGCUGAAAGAUGAGCUCGCGUCUGAUUAGCUAGUUGGUAAGGUAACGGCUUACCAAGGCGACGAUCAGUAGCCGGACUGAGAGGUUGAUCGGCCACAUUGGGACUGAGACACGGCCCAGACUCCUACGGGAGGCAGCAGUGGGGAAUAUUGCACAAUGGAGGAAACUCUGAUGCAGCGAUGCCGCGUGAGGGAAGAAGGUUUUAGGAUUGUAAACCUCUGUCUUCAGGGACGAAAAAAGACGGUACCUGAGGAGGAAGCUCCGGCUAACUACGUGCCAGCAGCCGCGGUAAUACGUAGGGAGCGAGCGUUGUCCGGAAUUACUGGGUGUAAAGGGAGCGUAGGCGGGAUCGCAAGUCAGAUGUGAAAACUAUGGGCUUAACCCAUAAACUGCAUUUGAAACUGUGGUUCUUGAGUGAAGUAGAGGUAAGCGGAAUUCCUAGUGUAGCGGUGAAAUGCGUAGAUAUUAGGAGGAACAUCAGUGGCGAAGGCGGCUUACUGGGCUUUAACUGACGCUGAGGCUCGAAAGCGUGGGGAGCAAACAGGAUUAGAUACCCUGGUAGUCCACGCCGUAAACGAUGAUUACUAGGUGUGGGGGGACUGACCCCUUCCGUGCCGCAGCAAACGCAAUAAGUAAUCCACCUGGGGAGUACGACCGCAAGGUUGAAACUCAAAGGAAUUGACGGGGGCCCGCACAAGCAGUGGAGUAUGUGGAUUAAUUCGAAGCAACGCGAAGAACCUUACCAGGUCUUGACAUCGUAUGCAUAGCUCAGAGAUGAGUGAAAUUCUUCGGGACAUAUAGACAGGUGGUGCAUGGUUGUCGUCAGCUCGUGUCGUGAGAUGUUGGGUUAAGUCCCGCAACGAGCGCAACCCUUACUGUUAGUUGCUACGCAAGAGCACUCUAGCAGGACUGCCGUUGACAAAACGGAGGAAGGUGGGGAUGACGUCAAAUCAUCAUGCCCCUUAUGACCUGGGCCUCACACGUACUACAAUGGCUGUCAACAGAGGGAAGCAAAGCCGCGAGGUGGAGCGAACCCCUAAAAGCAGUCUUAGUUCGGAUUGUAGGCUGCAACCCGCCUACAUGAAGUCGGAAUUGCUAGUAAUCGCAGAUCAGCAUGCUGCGGUGAAUACGUUCCCGGGCCU